CCUACGUGAGGCAGCAGUGGGGAAUAUUGCGCAAUGGGCGAAAGCCUGACGCAGCGACGCCGCGUGAGGGAUGAAGGUCUUCGGAUCGUAAACCUCUGUCAGCAGGGAAGAACGGUCACUGUGCUAAUCAGCAGUGAAUUGACGGUACCUGUAAAGGAAGCACCGGCUAACUCCGUGCCAGCAGCCGCGGUAAUACGGAGGGUGCGAGCGUUAAUCGGAAUUACUGGGCGUAAAGCGCUCGUAGGCGGUAUGUCAAGUCAAGGGUGAAAUCCCCGCGCUCAACGUGGGAACUGCCUUUGAAACUGGCAAACUGGAGUGUGUGAGAGGAGAGUGGAAUUCCAGGUGUAGGAGUGAAAUCCGUAGAUAUCUGGAGGAACAUCAGUGGCGAAGGCGACUAUCUGGCACAUAACUGACGCUGAGGAGCGAAAGCGUGGGUAGCAAACAGGAUUAGAUACCCCUGUAGUC
rnacentral:rRNA from 1 species